rnacentral:rRNA from 1 species
UUUAUUGGAGAGUUUGAUCCUGGCUCAGGAUGAACGCUGGCGGCGUGCCUAAUACAUGCAAGUCGAGCGAAUGAAUUAAGAGCUUGCUCUUAUGAAGUUAGCGGCGGACGGGUGAGUAACACGUGGGUAACCUGCCCAUAAGACUGGGAUAACUCCGGGAAACCGGGGCUAAUACCGGAUAACAUUUUGAACUGCAUGGUUCGAAAUU